AUACGGAGGGUGCGAGCGUUGUUCGGAAUCACUGGGCGUAAAGGGCGCGCAGGCGGUCUGUCAAGUCAGAUGUGAAAGCCCACGGCUCAACCGUGGACGUGCAUCUGAAACUGGCAGACUCGAGUACCGGAGGGGAAAGUGGAAUUCCCGGUGUAGAGGUGAAAUUCGUAGAUAUCGGGAGGAAUACCGGAGGCGAAGGCGACUUUCUGGACGGAUACUGACGCUGAGGCGCGAAAGCGUGGGGAGCGAACAGGAUUAGAAACCCGAGUAGUCC
rnacentral:rRNA from 1 species